rnacentral:tRNA from 2 species
GAGAAGAAAGCAUAAGUAUGCAGUUAACUUGAAAUUAACGGAUGACGGUUGUUAGUCCGUCUUUUCUCG